rnacentral:rRNA from 1 species
UGAGGAAUUUUCCGCAAUGGGGGAAACCCUGACGGAGCAACGCCGCGUGCAGGAGGACGCUUUUCGGAGUGUAAACUGCUUUUCUGUGGGACGAGGAUGGACGGUACCACAGGAAGAAGCCCCGGCUAACUACGUGCCAGCAGCCGCGGUAAUACGUAGGGGGCGAGCGUUGUCCGGAGUUACUGGGCGUAAAGGGCAUGCAGGCGGUCGGACGCGUUUUGUGUGACAGCGGAGGGCUUAACUCUCCGAGGAUACGAAAGACGGUUUGACUUGAGGGCUCGAGAGGGACACGGAAUUCCGGGUGGAGUGGUGAAAUGCGUAGAGAUCCGGAGGAACACCGAAGGCGAAGGCAGUGUCCUGGCGAGUUUUCCUGACGCUGAGGUGCGAAAGCCAGGGGAGCGAACGGGAUUAGAUACCCCCGUAGUCC